AUGGCAUACUAUUUUUUCCCACA
rnacentral:siRNA from 1 species